rnacentral:lncRNA from 1 species
GGAAAUAUUAAGUAUAAAUUAGAAUCUUGUUUUUGGAGACAUUUUGGUUCAAAGAGGACAGUGCUGAGUUUGCAUUCUACUCUAGAACUGUGUGACAUACAUUCCAAAUUCAAAGGGUAGUAGCCAGCCUUCCGCCAGAGAAAGGCAACGACAUUGCCAAUUCUUUGCGAGGAUUCUGGGAGCAGUAACCUUGGAGCUCUGUGUAGGCGGCCGGGCUUCCGCUACAGGAGGGCGUGGCUGUGACGAUUAUCUCAUUGGGAAUUCUGGGGUUAUAAUCCAGGAAUUGUGGGUAACUACAGUCACUUCCGCUCCAUGAAAGUGAGGUCAUCAUUCCUUUCAGGAAGUUGAGUGAGGCCUGAGACAGCAAUGUUUCGUUUAGCCUGGCGGCGGCCCUCCUUGUCUUCGAGAAGAGCAUCCGCGGCUAGCAGUGGAAGAUGGGGUUGGGCCCCAGAUGGUCACAGGAAUGAGGAAAGAAUGACUCUUUGGCUCCUAGCAGCAGAACCUUAACUGAGUGUGACUUAGCAUCCUUCUUCUUGCCGUGUCAUCUCUCUUCUCAGGGCAGAAGAUAUUUACUAAUUAGCACAUUCUGCUAGCACGUCUGUGGGAAGAGAGAUGCAGUCUUACUGUGUUGCCCAGGAUGGUCUCAAACUCCUGGCUACAAGCUAUCCUCCUGCCUCUGUCUCCCAAAGUGCUGGGGUUACAAGCGAGAGCCACCAGGCCUGGCCUAAUUGCUUCUUAACAACUUACUAUUCUUUGUUCACUACAGUGUAUACAUAACUGACUGUUUCUUUGGAGCUUCAUUUUGUAAUGAAGGCUCUGGUCACGUGUAAAACUUGUAUUAAAUAAAUUUGCAUGCUUUUCUCCUGUUAA